rnacentral:rRNA from 1 species
GACAGAGGGUGCAAACGUUGUUCGGAAUUACUGGGCGUAAAGCGAGUGUAGGCGGUUUUCUAAGUCAGGUGUGAAAGCCCCGGGCUCAACCCGGGAAGUGCACUUGAAACUGGAAGGCUAGAGUAUCGGAGAGGUUGGUGGAAUUCUCGGUGUAGAGGUGAAAUUCGUAGAUAUCGAGAGGAACACCGGUGGCGAAGGCGGCCAACUGGACGAAUACUGACGCUGAGACGCGAAAGCAUGGGGAGCAAACAGG